UACGUAGGUGGCAAGCGUUGUUCGGAAUUACUGGGCGUAAAGGGCGCGUAGGCGGUCCUUCAAGUCAGGCGUGAAAGCCCCGGGCUCAACCUGGGAACCGCGCUUGAGACUGGAGAACUAGAGUUCGGGAGAGGAUGGUGGAAUUCCCAGUGUAGAGGUGAAAUUCGUAGAUAUUGGGAAGAACACCGAUGGCGAAGGCAGCCAUCUGGACCGACACUGACGCUGAGGCGCGAAAGCGUGGGGAGCAAACAGG
rnacentral:rRNA from 1 species